UGAGUAACACGUAUCCAACCUGCCGUCUACUCUUGGACAGCCUUCUGAAAGGAAGAUUAAUACAAGAUGGCAUCAUGAGUCCGCAUGUUCACAUGAUUAAAGGUAUUCCGGUAGACGAUGGGGAUGCGUUCCAUUAGAUAGUAGGCGGGGUAACGGCCCACCUAGUCUUCGAUGGAUAGGGGUUCUGAGAGGAAGGUCCCCCACAUUGGAACUGAGACACAGUCCAA
rnacentral:rRNA from 1 species